rnacentral:rRNA from 1 species
CGACGAGUGGCGGACGGGUGAGUAAUACAUAGGAAUCUGCCUUAUAGUGGGGGGACAACCUGGGGAAACCCAGGCUAAUACCGCAUACGCCCUUCGGGGGAAAGGCUUCGGCCGCUAUUAGAUGAGCCUAUGUCUGAUUAGCUUGUUGGUGGGGUAAUGGCCUACCAAGGCGACGAUCAGUAGCUGGUCUGAGAGGACGAUCAGCCACACUGGGACUGAGACACGGCCCAG